rnacentral:misc_RNA from 1 species
GAUGAAGAACGUAGCGAAAUGCGAUAAGUAAUGCGAAUUGCAGAAUCCGUGAGUCAUCGAAUCUUUGAACGCACAUUGCGCCCUCUGGUAUUCCGGAGGGCAUGCCUGUUCGAGCGUCAUUAUCACCCCCCAAGCCCGGCUUGUUGUUGGAUGCAGCGCUUAUCCCGCUCCUCCCAAAGAUAAUGACGGCGUCUGCGACGACUCCUGUACACUGAGCUUUCGGGCACGUACACGGCUAGAAGUCCAGACCCGGUCGCCGUCCCCCCCCGCGGGACACCCAUUACCACAAGGUUGACCUCGGAUCAGGUAGGAAUACCCGCUGAACUUAAGCAUAUCAAUAAGCGGAGGA